CUAGUAAUGGCAGGUCAGCAUACUGCCGUGAAUACGUUCCCGGGCCUUGUACACACCGCCCGUCACACCAUGAGAGUUGGGAAUACCCGAAGCCUGUGAGCUAACUAUACGAGGCAGCAGUCGAAGGUAGAAUCAAUGAUUGGGGUGAAGUCGUAACAAGGUAAC
rnacentral:rRNA from 1 species